AUACGUAGGGGGCGAGCGUUGUCCGGACUUAUUGGGCGUAAAGGGUGCGUAGGCGGCCUUGUAAGUCAGAUGUGAAAUCUCACGGCUUAACCGUGGUAAGCAUUUGAAACUGUGAGGCUUGAGUACAGGAGAGGAGAGUGGAAUUCCUAGUGUAGCGGUGAAAUGCGUAGAUAUUAGGAGGAAUACCAGUGGCGAAGGCGACUCUCUGGACUGUAACUGACGCUGAGGCACGAAAGCGUGGGGAGCAAACAGGAUUAGAUCCCCUGGUAGUCCACGCCGUAAACGAUGAGUGCUAGGUGUCGGGGGUCAAACCUCGGUGCCGCAGUUAACACAUUAAGCACUCCGCCUGGGGAGUACGGUGGCAACACUGAAACUCAAAGGAAUUGACGGGG
rnacentral:rRNA from 1 species